AACGAACGCUGGCGGCAGGCCUAACACAUGCAAGUCGAGCGAGGACUUCGGUCCUAGCGGCGGACGGGUGAGUAACGCGUGGGAACGUGCCCUUUGCUUCGGAAUAGCCCUGGGAAACUGGGAGUAAUACCGGAUGAGCCCUUUGGGGGAAAGAUUUAUCGGCGAAGGAUCGGCCCGCGUUGGAUUAGGUAGUUGGUGGGGUAAUGGCCUACCAAGCCGACGAUCCAUAGCUGGUGUGAGAGGAUGAUCAGCCACACUGGAACUGAGACACGGCCCAGACUCCUACGGGAGGCAGCAGUGGGGAAUCUUAGACAGUGAGGGAAUGCCUGAUCUAGCCAUGCCGAGUAAGCGAUGAAGGCCUUAGGGUUGUAAAGCUCUUUCAGCUGAGAAGAUAAUGACGGUACCAGAAGAAGAAGCCCCGGCUAACUCCGUG
rnacentral:rRNA from 1 species